rnacentral:rRNA from 1 species
AUUGAACGCUGGCGGCAGGCCUAAUACAUGCAAGUCGAGCGAGCCGCGGACGGGUGAGUAAUGUAUGGGGACCUGCCCGAUAGAGGGGGAUAACUACUGGAAACGGUGGCUAAUACCGCAUACCAGCGGAUGAACCCAUAUGGGAUUAGCUAGUAGGUGGGGUAAAGGCUCACCUAGGCGACGAUCUCUAGCUGGUCUGAGAGGAUGAUCGGCCACACUGGGACUGAGACACGGCCCAGACUCCUACGGGAGGCAGCAGUGGGGAAUCUUGCGCAAUGGGCGAAAGCCUGAUGCAGCCAUGCCGCGUGAGUGAAGAAGGCCUUCGGGUUGUAAAGUGCUUUCAGCGGGGAGGCGUUACCCAAAGAGGAAGCCACGGCUAACUCCGUGCCAGCAGCCGCGGUAAUUC